rnacentral:sRNA from 1 species
AUGCCCCUAGGAACAAUGGUAGUUUCGAGUAAAGGAAGCGGUGAAUCUUUUUCGGGCGCUAGCUAUUUUGGCUCCAGCCAAUCGGAUGGUGAGACGACAUACGUAGACAACUCUAUGAAUCGUGGGCUGGGUCGAGUUGAACGUCAUCUAAAAGAUUAUAUUGAUGAACCCAAGUCUGCUUCCAUAUUCUGUAGCAGAUCAUCAUCUCAACCAAACAGGGAUGAGGAUGAUGAAUUCAGUCAGCUUUUAGCAGGGGUCUACAGAUCAACUGACCUCAGAAGAGAAAGUAGUACAUCUCCUUCAGUAUAUAGCAGAGAAAGUUGUGCCUCCUCCAAUAGCAUAACAUAUGUUGACAAUUCUAUGAAUCAAAGCCUUAGAAGGUUUUACAGAGAUAAUCCAGAAAAUCGUCGUCUUGGAAUAGUGGGGUUUCCAUUGGGGUCUAGACCUAAAGGUUUUUUCUCAGAACUGAAGCAGACCUUCUGCGACAACGAUUUGAAUAAACAGCUUGGAACGGCGCCCGUGAUUUCUCGUAAAAAGAUAGAGUGGUUUCACAAGACAAAUCAAAGAUUUAGGGAAAACCCGGAUAAAGAUAUUGACUUCGGGACAUUACCCACUCUUUCAAGCGAAGAUAAGGAAGAUGCAGUCGAACAACUAGAGCAUGUGAUAAAUAGGCUGCAGCUUGUAAGAGGAUGGGAAGAAAAGGAGGAACAGGCCAGACCAGUUCCUAAAACUUCACACGAUCUGCUACACUACUUGGGACCAAUCAUUGAAUUUUCAGAAAUUAAUCUCGGAAAGAUCAUAGGAGUUGGUGGAUUUGGCAUGGUAUACCAUGGGACUUAUAAAGAUUAUGUGGUUGCAGUAAGGAUGGUUCAUGUAAAGCGAGACGAUGGACGUCUUCAGGAGGAACUGUUUGAUGAGGUUAAUAUCUUAAGUAAGCUAGAUAACCCAUUCAUCGUAAAAUUCAUCGGCGCCUGCACCAUCUACCCAAAUCUUUGCAUCGUUAUGGAGUACAUGCUGAUGAGUUUGCACGAGGCAUUGCACGUCAAUUGUACUAUUAUGGAUGAUAUUACAGACGAUGAUCGUCUGAUGAUAAUAAUACAAACACUUUCAGGUCUCAAAUACUUACAUGACAAAAAUUUUGCCCAUUGCGAUAUUAAACCUGGUAACAUUUUGAUUGAUCACGACGAAGAAAAAUUUACAGUUGCCAAGCUAUCCGAUUUUGGGCUGAAUAUGAUAAAGAAUGAAAUCGAAACUUCUUUAUCUUCGGACAGUAGACUUGCAUGCCCCCCUGGAACUACAGUAUACUACGGAACUACGGAACGCCUUCGCAGAGAAUAUUUGAAUUUGAAAAGGAUGAAGAUGAGCGACAUGUACUCCUAUGGGUUGGUUGUUUUCGAAAUAUUGUGUGGUGUACAACCCUUUUCUAAUUUAAGUCUAAGACAACUGCAACUUCAAGUUGGAUGGAAACACAUGUACCCUGUUGGGAUCGUGAGCCGGAGAAUCGCCCAACAACAACCGAUUUUCUGAAAGUAAUGAACAGAAUUUCUUGUGUCUACGAGACACUGGAUUAGACGGGAUUUCGAGUUAUUUCAUAGUGAUAUUUAAUAUGAUUAUUUGCAGCACCUUAAAAACGAAAGUCCUCCUAAUCAGUUUUUUAACUUUCCACUUUACAACAACACUAAAGAAACCGGAAACAGACCCCAAUUUUAAUCCUUGCACCUCCAUAAGAGAUUCUUUAAGUUGCAAAAUUACGCUUUAAGCUGUACAUAGACAAGAGUUAUUGUGUGUAUAAAUAUUAUUGUGUCUACAACAAAAUACGACUCUAUUCGUCUGAGAAUUUCAAAGAUACCGAAAAAUUCUUGGAAUAACAGGACGAUGGCUUUCAUGAAAUCUAAAACGUAAUCAAAGCAGACUGUCAAUGAAU